UACGAAGGGGGCUAGCGUUGCUCGGAAUCACUGGGCGUAAAGCGCACGUAGGCGGCUUUCUAAGUCAGGGGUGAAAUCCUGGAGCUCAACUCCAGAACUGCCUUUGAUACUGGAGAGCUCGAGUCCGGAAGAGGUGAGUGGAACUCCGAGUGUAGAGGUGAAAUUCGUAGAUAUUCAGAAGAACACCAGUGGCGAAGGCGGCUCACUGGUCCGGUACUGACGCUGAUGUGCGAAAGCGUGGGGAGCAAACAGG
rnacentral:rRNA from 1 species